UACGUAGGGUGCGAGCGUUAAUCGGAAUUACUGGGCGUAAAGCGUGCGCAGGCGGUUCGUUGUGUCGGCGGUGAAAGCCCCGGGCUUAACCUGGGAAUGGCCGUCGAAACUGGCGAACUGGAGUGUGGCAGAGGGGGGUGGAAUUCCGCGUGUAGCAGUGAAAUGCGUAGAUAUCGGGAGGAACACCAGUGGCGAAGGCGAUCACCUGGGGUUGUUCUGACGCUGAGGAGCGAAAGCUAGGGGAGCAAACGGG
rnacentral:rRNA from 1 species